rnacentral:sRNA from 1 species
ACUGGACGUGGCUAGGGUUCCGCUCCGCCUUUGGCGGGGGCUGGUCCGAGCGCCACGACCCACCAAGCGUGGUGGGCAUCUGACGGGACAAAAGCCCGGUCGAG